ACAUGCAAGUCGAGCGAACAGACAAGGAGCUUGCUCCUUUGACGUUAGCGGCGGACGGGUGAGUAACACGUGGGUAACCUACCUAUAAGACUGGGAUAACUUCGGGAAACCGGAGCUAAUACUGGAUAAUAUUUCGAACCGCAUGGUUCGAUAGUGAAAGAUGGUUUUGCUAUCACUUAUAGAUGGACCCGCGCCGUAUUAGCUAGUUGGUAAGGUAACGGCUUACCAAGGCGACGAUACGUAGCCGACCUGAGAGGGUGAUCGGCCACACUGGAACUGAGACACGGUCCAGACUCCUACGGGAGGCAGCAGUAGGGAAUCUUCCGCAAUGGGCGAAAGCCUGACGGAGCAACGCCGCGUGAGUGAUGAAGGUCUUCGGAUCGUAAAACUCUGUUAUUAGGGAAGAACAUACGUGUAAGUAACUAUGCACGUCUUGACGGUACCUAAUCAGAAAGCCACGGCUAACUCCGUGCCAGCCGCCGCGGUAA
rnacentral:rRNA from 1 species